rnacentral:rRNA from 1 species
UACGUAUGGAGCAAGCGUUAUCCGGAUUUACUGGGUGUAAAGGGAGCGCAGGCGGCUUUGCAAGUCUGAUGUGAAAGGCCGGGGCUCAACCCCGGGACUGCAUUGGAAACUGUAAAGCUAGAGUGCCGGAGAGGUAAGCGGAAUUCCUAGUGUAGCGGUGAAAUGCGUAGAUAUUAGGAGGAACACCAGUGGCGAAGGCGGCUUACUGGACGGCAACUGACGCUGAGGCUCGGAAGCGUGGGGAGCAAACAGG